UUUCUCAGGCUCCCUCUCCGGAAUCGAACCCUAAUUCCCCGUUACCCGUUAACGCCACGGUAGUCCACUACACUACCGUCGAAAGCUGAUAGGGCAGAAAUUUGAAUGAUCUACGCCCAGCACAAGGCUAUGGCGUUCGAAAAGUUACUAUGAUUCAACACAAAGGCGAGCAGAACCCGCAUUGGUUUUUUAUCUAAUAAAUACAUCCCUUCCCGCAAGAGUUGGGACUUUACGCAUGUAUUAGCUCUAGAAUUACUACAGUUAUCCAUGUAGUAAGAAAUCAUCAAAUAAAUUAUUGCUGAUAUAAUGAGCCGUUCGCAGUUUUACAGUAUAAAGUUGUUUAUACUUAGACAUGCAUGGCUUAAUCUUUGAGACAAGCACAUGACUACUGGCAGGAUCAACCAGGUA
rnacentral:rRNA from 1 species